AUCCCAUGGUGAGGGAAUUUAAGAAGUAGCUCUUUGAAUCUUUCCCAUGCCUCGUAUAGGGGCUCAUCAUCUAUCUGUUGAAAAGUGGUGAUCUCAUUACGCAACAC
rfam:Gossypium raimondii Chr07_contig_718, whole genome shotgun sequence.